GGAGCAACGCCGCGUGCGGGAGGAAGGCCUGUGGGUUGUAAACCGCUUUUCUCAGGGAAGAAGUACUGACGGUACCUGAGGAAUCAGCAUCGGCUAACUCCGUGCCAGCAGCCGCGGUAAUACGGAGGAUGCAAGCGUUAUCCGGAAUUAUUGGGCGUAAAGCGUCCGCAGGCGGCUGUUCAAGUCUGCUGUCAAAGCCUGGGGCUUAACCUCGGAUAGGCAGUGGAAACUGAGUAGCUAGAGUGCGGUAGGGGUAGAGGGAAUUCCCAGUGUAGCGGUGAAAUGCGUAGAUAUUGGGAAGAACACCAGUGGCGAAGGCGCUCUNACUGG
rnacentral:rRNA from 1 species